rnacentral:lncRNA from 1 species
CCAGCAGCAGCCAUGUGAGAUCAGACCCAAGAGAGAACAUCUUCCACAGUGCCAGCUCAGCGCCCUACAUCUCCAGGUGCCUGCUAUCUCUUGCCAUAGGAGAUUCUUCAUGGAACUGCUAUGAGGCACAUCUCACUAAGAUGCUCUGCAGGAGAAGAGAGGGAAGAGUUGAUGGCUCUGAAAGGUGCAAUGGAUAAGGAAGGGCCAGAAGAAUCUGGGAACAUCAUAGGAAGAG